rnacentral:rRNA from 1 species
UACGUAGGGGGCUAGCGUUGUCCGGAUUAUUGGGCGUAAAGAGCGUGUAGGCGGCCAGGUAGGUCUGCUGUGAAAACUCGAGGCUCAACCUCGAGACGUCGGCGGAAACCAUCUGGCUAGAGUCCGGAAGAGGAGAGUGGAAUUCCCGGUGUAGCGGUGAAAUGCGCAGAUAUCGGGAAGAACACCCGUGGCGAAGGCGGCUCUCUGGGACGGUACUGGACGCUGAGACGGCGAAAGCGUGGGGAGCGAACAGG